rnacentral:rRNA from 1 species
CACGUAGGGCGCAAGCGUUGUCCGGAAUUAUUGGGCGUAAAGAGCUCGUAGGCGGUCUGUUGCGUCCGCUGUGAAAUCUCCGGGCUUAACCCGGAAAGGUCAGCCGAUACUGCGGGGCUAGAGUGCAGAAGGGGCAACUGGAAUUCUCGGUGUAGCGGUGAAAUGCGUAGAUAUCGAGAGGAACACCUGCGGCGAAGGCGGGUUGCUGGGCUGACACUGACGCUGAAGCGCGAAAGCCAGGGGAGCGAACGGG